AGGCAUAAGAUUAGAACAGGAGGAGAAGCAGGCAGGAGAGAGCAGAAAGGAGAAGCACUGUUAAAAGGGUCCUGGAAUAAACUGCAAAAGGAAGAGCUCGUGUAGUUGCAUCUUUCUUGCUGGACGAGGAGGACACAACAAUUCGUGGCCCUCAUGGGGAAAAAGAAAAGAAAAACCUCGCAACAGUUGGAGGCCUGGACUGGGAGAAAGUAAAAGAAAAGUAACAGUUGGAGGCCUAGACAGACGGGGAAGGAAAAACCUCUUGAGACUCAGAACCUUUUGCAGUCAGGGUAAGCCGGCUUGGUAAAUUCCCAGAAUUUGUAUAGAAGAGGAAACAAAAUACCCAUGAAAGGAGUUACAGAGACAAAGUGUGGAGCAGAGAUUGAAUGAAAGACCAUCCAGAGACUGCCCCACCUGGAGAUUCAUCCCAUAUGCAGUUCCAGUUCUAUUGCCAGAACCCUCAGGCUGGAUCAAAACUUCAUACUGUUAUAAUUCAAGAAGUUAGGCACGACUCUCUACUCAGCGAGGAAAGAGAAAUGGGAAAGCAGGUCUUUAUAUGAUGAUAAUUCAGACAUGCCGUCAGUGGAAGGGUGGGAAAACUGACAGGAUGGGAUCCUUCCUUCUUGGCCACACAGCAAUAAUUUAAUUCUCCUCACAAGCUCCAUUU